UACGUAGGUGGCAAGCGUUGUCCGGAUUUACUGGGCGUAAAGGGCGUGCAGGCGGUCUGUUAAGUCUAGGGUGAAAGCUUUCGGCUUAACCGGAAAAGGGCCUUGGAUACCGCAUGUCUUGAGGGAGGUAGGGGUCUGUGGAACUUCGGGUGGAGCGGUGAAAUGCGUUGAUAUCCGAAGGAACGCCGGUGGCGAAAGCGACGGACUGGACCUCUUCUGACGCUGAGGCGCGAAAGCCAGGGGAGCAAACGGG
rnacentral:rRNA from 1 species